CUCACCUGGCCCCAGCGCGGAGCCGGAUCACACCUGCCUGCUGGGUGAGCCGAGGGCAUUCGCGGAAGGGAAGAGACAAGACCUGGGAAGGGACGCCUGUGGCUUAGAAAGACCCUCAGGCAGGGCCGGGCGUGGGGCGCGCUGAUAAAAAUUCCUGGAGCUGUAUUAUUCACAUCGCAGAUUUGUCCCUUUGCCUCAAUCUAAAAGGAAUGGGAAAGAACAGCCGCUGGGCUCUCAUUUGCUUCCAGCUUACACAGAUUCAACUAUCAAUUAUCCCAGAGGAGAGGCGUGCAGUGCAGGGCGUUGGGCCACGAAACUGAAAGCUGCUGGCGAGGCGCGUGGGGGAGGUCGAUUUCUGCGUCCUGCUGCCUCCACGCACAGUGAGAACCCACCCCGCCACUGCGUUCCUGUCCUCACAGGCACAUCAUUGCUUCAACUGAUUCAUGAGCAGAAGAGUCUUUGCUGGCAACACAUGAACUGUGAUGGAUUCAAUCACUUAGGCUUUCCAUUAUCAAUGCAGACCUGGCCCCUGGGUGCACAGGGUUAUCAGUGACCACCCCUGAAUGCCGCAACUGACCAGACUCCAGGGACACCAUGGACUACUUAGUUGCAGACUGAUGACUUUGGACCUCUUCCAUUAUGGAAAGGGCAGUGAUUUCUUUUCACUGAAACAGGCUCAUGUCUGACUUUGGAACUGACCUCUCUGCCUGUAGAUCAUCAUGGCAUGCUCUACAAAAUUGCUUCUGACAACGGAAUUCACUUUACAGUGAAAGAGGGAAAGCAGUGGGUGAUACCCUUGUCAAUGGAUCCUGUCACCCAGAAGCAGUCAUCUGUAUUCAGCUGUGACAUGAUUUAUUGAAGAUUUCAUUUCAGGACUGAGAGACGAUCAUACCUAAGGAGAUUGAAAUAUCGUCCUUUAAGAUGCUUGUUUGUUCUGAACUAGGGAACAUCACGUGGUGCCGUUUCUCCCACAGCCAGACUAAACAGGUCUGGAGGAAGGGGAAGUAGGCACGGUGCAACUUCCAUCUUACUUAAUGACUCUCACUCUCUUCAACUUUUUUUCCACCAAUUAGCGAUUUUAUUCCCAGGAAAGGAAGGUUGCACCAUUGAGGCAGCUGACCGUUGGGGUGGCUCCCUUUGGAAAGGGGAUAUAAAGUGUUUGUAUGAGUGAUGGUUCCAUUAAAGCAGACAUUUUUUAAAAAGGUGAAAUUUGGGGAAUUAGAGUGAAUAUAGAUGUUGAACAGAAAAAGAGUGAUAUAGCAAUAGUCUGGACAUGUGGGCUGGCCACCUGGAAUUUCACAUGCCAUUAGGUCAAAAAAGUGGGUUGACAAGGCUGGCUGCAGUGACUAGUCCUGGGAAAAUGCUGCUAUACCACGGGAGACAGGCCAGGGUGGAGGCUAUGAAUGAAACUCAAGUGGUUCUCUCAGGAGCCGCCUCCUCCUCCUCCUCCAGCGGUGGGAGUUAAGGGAAGACUGUUACCAUCAUGCAUAUGGGCAGGGCCUCCUUGGUCUCUGUGCCCUUAGGAAAGAGGAAUAGGGUCACGGCUAGUAGGUCACACCCCAGUCAUCUAAGGUACUGGCUGAAGACAGCAUGGACUUGGAAUGGAAACUGGAAGCGGGAAACCUAAACAUCAUCCAGGGUCUCUUCUCUAGGGCAGGAAAUGGGUGCUGUAGCUUCUACUUGUACUUCCUGUGUUGUGUGUAUCCUAUUUUAACUCAUUGCCUCUCUUUCCUCUCCCGUUAUUCGUUUUAUUGUAUAUGGGAUGAACGGUUAUGGUUAACUUUACACUUCAGCUCAAAGAUACAGAAUAAUGAGAUGGGCUUGUUAUCCCACGGAGGUGGGGUAUCCAUUACUCACAGACCUUGAGUACAGGAGUUGAAAGACAUUGGGGUAACCCCGUUGGAAAGGGAAUGAAAGAAGUUUUGAUUGUAUGAGGAAUAGCUACAUAUUUUAAGCAAGAGUUUUUUCUUUAAGUAAAACUAGAGGAAUUAGAGUAUAUGUUGAUAUUGAACAGCAAAAGAGUAAGGCUGUAAUGAACUUAAUAGACCCUUUUUUUUUUUUCUAUUUUGGCUCUGCACCAUAUGAACUCAUUCCCAAAUUUGGAAAAUCCACUAUUUUGCGAGUCUUGGGAAGGGGCAAGAUCAGCUAGUUCAUGGGCACAGGAUCUAAGCUCUGGCAGCUGGAUGUUCUGAUCUAGAACUUCGAAUGUGGAGCCAGGACACAAAGAAUCCAGCUCAGUGUAGAGUUUGUUCUUGUGGCGGCAGUGGUGGUGGCAUCAAGGUACAGCAGUUUCAUUAGUGGUGUCCAGGAUCUAGGGACCAGCUCUGGGGACCAUGGCAUCUAAACCAAGCUGUUCUCCAGGUGUGAUUGGGUCAUGGCCCCAGACCUCUGGCUUUCUUGGAUCCAACCCAUUUUCAAGCCCGAUUCUCCGAAAGAGCCUGUGAAUUCCCUAACAGGCUUCCACUCAUUUCCUUUUCUGUUUAAGUAAGCUGCUGUUGGAUGCUGUUGUUGCAACCAAGAAUCUGACUAGCCCUUCCCAUCUGAGCUCUUUCCUUUGCCUCUCCUAGUGUUGGAUCAGGGAGGUGUUAGUUCCAACUUUAGUUAGCUCUUUUAUGAUCAUCCUUGCAAAGAAGCAGCUUUGAGAAGUACUGAACGUAACACAGGUCAUCCACAACAUCCCCUUUUUAUUGAUAUUAAUCACAGUUAUGAGGUCUUGUCCAUCAGAAAGCACAAUUUGCAUUAUGUAGAACUACAUACAAAGACAUAAAAAUAAAACAUACAUACACCAACCACCACACCAGUUAAUCUCAACCAAUCAAACCUCUGAAUGUGUCUUCAAUUUUGAUCAUCAGUGCUUCGGAAGAACGUACAUAGACCCAGCCCAAGGUUGGCCUUUGGGGUCUGAUAGCAUUCACAGAGCAGGAGAUUCACCCUUGGAAGCAAUUGAAUGUGUAAACUCUGAGAGCAGACACUGACAAUGCAAUGCCUGCAUACCUGACUCCUGGGCUGCCUUCCUUCUCAGCAGAGCCCACUGAAAGUCUCACGUGUGCCUUUAACCAAUGAGGAUGGCAGGCCUUAUCUGUGUUUGAAGUGGACAGGUCAUUGCUACCCCUGUUGGAGAAGCUAUGUAAGAAGGAGUAGGCUGGCUUCUGGUCUAGUUCGACUCAUUCUUUAUAGGGACAUUUCAGAAUGAUGAGUUGGCUAAAAUUUACUUUAAAGGGGAAAUGUAAAAUUACCUCUUCUUUUCCUAUCCCCUUCUUCCUUUCCCAUCCUGAGCCCUCUGGCAAGGCCUGUUGCAGCUCAAGAGUUUUUGUCAGAUUAUAAGUUACCAAAUGGUCAACAGGGAAGGACCCACAGCAGAUUCCAAAACUCUUUCAUUCACUUGAGUUAACUGAAAUGGCUCCUUCUUUGAGUAAUUGAAGAGUUUGAGUUCUAGCAGUUUGCUGGUGUCUCCAAGUCUCUUAGAAACAUGAUGGCUAUAAACUUAUCAAAAUAAAUGCCUAAGAAAUUUGGAAAGCGCGACAAAUGGCCUUGCUCCUGGAAUCCAUUGACAGCAGAGGCCUCCGAACAAACCCACACUCUGUCUGUCUCUUCUUUCCACAGGGCUCACUGUGAGUUCACAGUUGUCCUCAUCCCCUUUCCUUCAAUAAUGUCAAUCUUUGCCUUUAAAAAAAAAAAAAAAAAAA
rnacentral:lncRNA from 1 species